rnacentral:rRNA from 1 species
AUGCACGCUGGCGGCGUGCCUAAUCCAUGCAAGUCGCGCGAACGGACGAGAAGCUUGCUUCUCUGAUGUUAGCGGCGGACGGGUGAGUAACACGUGGAUAGCCUACCUAUAAGACUGGGAUAACUUCGGGAAACCGGAGCUAAUACCGGAUGAUAUUUUGAACCGCAUGGUUCAAAAGUGAAAGACGGUCUUGCUGUCACUUAUAGAUGGAUCCGCGCUGCAUUAGCUAGUUGGUAAGGGAACGGCUUACCAAGGCAACGAUGCAUAGCCGACCUGAGAGGGUGAUCGGCCACACUGGAACUGAGACACGGUCCAGACUCCUACGGGAGGCAGCAGUAGGGAAUCUUCCGCAAUGGGCGAAAGCCUGACGGAGCAACGCCGCGUGAGUGAUGAAGGUCUUCGGAUCGUAAAACUCUGUUAUUAGGGAAGAACAUAUGUGUAAGUAACUGUGCACAUCUUGACGGUACCUAAUCAGAAAGCCCCGGCUAACUACGUG